UACGUAGUUCUUUUUAAGUUUCAAAAAUGCAGCGGAAAAAUCGAAUCAAACAAUUUAAUUCGUGCAUGCUUACAAGAUCAAAUCUAGAAAUCAGCAUUGUAAGAACACAUAGGAUUAUGCCGGAAUUGUUUAAACAAAUAUGCUAAAACUUUAUGCAUGAUUAACUAUCAGAUCUGAAAGGUAAACACUCUAUUUCGUUUAAUCUCCGAAUAUCCAUCGAAUGGAUUCU
rnacentral:lncRNA from 1 species